AUGCAGUCAGCCAAUGGUAUCCAGAGGGCCAAGGUGCAAGACUUCAAGGCAUCACCUGAGUCUCCAGCAUUAAAUCAUGCAGGACACAAAAAGGAGAAAGAGAACAUCCCUCCGGUGUCAUGUAUGGAGAUCAAAAGGAUACAAGACCUACCUGAAGCUGUAACCAUGGGAAAAAGUCCAGAACAAAAGUUGCUAAGAGCCCUAGGGAAAUUGCCUGUCUGCUCAACUGUACUUGCCCAACCUGAGGCCACAAGUGUUCCAGAAGCAGUAGAAGCAACUGGCCACGGGAACAUUCACCAUUUCUAUGAUGUGGAGGAGCGGUACCAUGAUUUCAUGCGUGUUAGUGGGAAUACAAGCAAUGCACUAGAAAUCAAUGUUCUAGAUGUGAGUGAGCUGUUUGCAACGUGUGUUGAUCCAAACAACAAGAAUGCCCAAUCCAACUCCAUAAAUCACAGUUCAGCGAAUAAAGAUAAACAACAUUUUGAGCAAAGGGACACCGAAAGAUCAAAUGAGUUUUUCAGAGAGUACUACCCAACACCAAGUUUCGAUCUAGGCAUAGAUGAUUUCCACACAAGAUCUGCAGACAACACAACACAUCAACAUGUUGGGUCAAGCACAUUUGCAGAGCAUGAGUUGAAGGAACUCCCAGUACAUAACCAGCCAAUCAUCAAUAUAACCAACGACUAUUAUCUGUUGGAUGUUGAAGGCAUAGAUGAACCGUGUGUUCAAGCAGAAGGAAAUGCGUACCAAACACCUGAAAAAAGUUCCAACCAAGGAGAAGUGGGGUCAAGCAGCAAGGUUUAUAGCAGUAGUAGUUCAGGAGAGAUGCAUCCACAUCAAUUCGAGAGAAGGAUUAUCAAGCCACCUCCUUGCAAGAGGUCACCUUUCAUUGACUAUAAUGAGAAGAAAGUCUUCAUGUCCAAACCCGAAGCAAAUAGAUUGUAUGCAUCAGUUAUUUUGCAUGGAAGAAUUAAUGAAGAAGAAUCACUAGAUGUGGAUACCAGCGCAAGGGUAAUUGAAUAUGGCAAAUACUUUGUCACGUCAGGGAGCUCGCAAACUCAAUGA
rnacentral:rRNA from 1 species